rnacentral:rRNA from 1 species
CACGUAGGGCGCAAGCGUUGUCCGGAAUUAUUGGGCGUAAAGAGCUCGUAGGCGGUCUGUUACGUCUGCUGUGAAAACCCGGGGCUUAACCCUGGGCUUGCAGUGGAUACGGGCAGACUAGAGGCAGGUAGGGGAGAAUGGAAUUCCCGGUGUAGCGGUGAAAUGCGCAGAUAUCGGGAGGAACACCGGUGGCGAAGGCGGGUCUCUGGACAGUUCCUGACGCUGAGGCACGAAAGCCAGGGGAGCAAACGGG